CGGCAACAGCUCAAAUUUGAAAUCUGGCCUUUGGCCCGAGUUGUAAUUUGUAGAGGAUGCUUUUGGUGCGGUGCCUUCCGAGUUCCCUGGAACGGGACGCCUUAGAGGGUGAGAAUCCCGU
rnacentral:rRNA from 1 species